rnacentral:rRNA from 1 species
GCUCAGGAUGAACGCUAGCUACAGGCUUAACACAUGCAAGUCGAGGGGUAGCAGGGUAGCAAUACCGCUGACGACCGGCGCACGGGUGAGUAACACGUAUCCAACCUUCCCAUAACUCGGGGAUAGCCUUUCGAAAGAAAGAUUAAUACCCGAUAGUACUUUAUUAAGGCAUCUUAAGAAAGUUAAAGAUUUAUUGGUUAUGGAUGGGGAUGCGUUCCAUUAGAUAGUUGGUGAGGUAACGGCUCACCAAGUCUUCGAUGGAUAGGGGUUCUGAGAGGAAGGUCCCCCACAUUGGUACUGAGACACGGACCAAACUCCUACGGGAGGCAGCAGUGAGGAAUAUUGG